GAUCCUGGCUCAGGAUUAACGCUGGCGGCGUGCCUAAUACAUGCAAGUCGAAUGGUAGCAAUACCAUGGCGAACGGGUGAGUAACACGUAGGUAACCUGUCUUUAAGCCGAGGAUAACCAUUGGAAACGAUGGAUAAUACUGGAUAGGACAUUUGAAGGCAUCUUUAGAUGUUUAAAGAUUUAUCACUUAGAGAGGGGCCUGCGGCGCAUUAGCUAGUUGGUGAGGUGAAGGCUUACCAAGGCGAUGAUGCGUAGCCGGACUGAGAGGUUGAACGGCCACAAUGGAACUGAGAACGGUCCAUACUCCUACGGGAGGCAGCAGUAGGGAAUUUUCGGCAAUGGGCGGAAGCCUGACCGAAGCAACGCCGCGUGAACGAAGAAGUAUUUCGGUAUGUAAAGUUCUUUUAUUAGGGACGAAAAGACAGAUUGACGGUACCUAAUGAAUAAGCUCCGGCUAACUACGUGCCAGCAGCUGC
rnacentral:rRNA from 1 species